rnacentral:rRNA from 1 species
AUGAGGAGCUUGCUCCUUUGACGUUAGCGGCGGACGGGUGAGUAACACGUGGGUAACCUACCUAUAAGACUGGGAUAACUUCGGGAAACCGGAGCUAAUACCGGAUAAUAUUUUGAACCGCAUGGUUCGAUAGUGAAAGAUGGUUUUGCUAUCACUUAUAGAUGGACCCGCGCCGUAUUAGCUAGUUGGUAAGGUAACGGCUUACCAAGGCGACGAUACGUAGCCGACCUGAGAGGGUGAUCGGCCACACUGGAACUGAGACACGGUCCAGACUCCUACGGGAGGCAGCAGUAGGGAAUCUUCCGCAAUGGGCGAAAGCCUGACGGAGCAACGCCGCGUGAGUGAUGAAGGUCUUCGGAUCGUAAAACUCUGUUAUUAGGGAAGAACAUACGUGUAAGUAACUGUGCACGUCUUGACGGUACCUAAUCAGAAAGCCACGGCUAACUACGUGCCAGCAGCCGCGGUAAUACGUAGGUGGCAAGCGUUAUCCGGAAUUAUUGGGCGUAAAGCGCGCGUAAGCGGUUUUUUAAGUCUGAUGUGAAAGCCCACGGCUCAACCGUGGAGGGUCAUUGGAAACUGGAAAACUUGAGUGCAGAAGARGAAAG